GGAGAAGUGGCAGAGUGGUCGAUCGCGGCGGUCUUGAAAACCGUUGACCUCACGGUCCGGGGGUUCGAAUCCCUCCUUCUCCG
rnacentral:tRNA from 1 species